UACAGGGGGUGCAAACGUUGCUCGGAAUCAUUGGGCGUAAAGCGCACGUAGGCGGUUCGUUAUGUCGGAUGUGAAAGCCCUUGGCUUAACCGAGGAAGUGCAUCCGAAACUGGCGAGCUGGAGUACUAAAGAGGAUCGCGGAAUUCCCGGUGUAGAGGUGAAAUGCGUAGAUAUCGGGAGGAACACCUAUGGCGAAAGCACCUGCCUGGGCUUCUAUUGACGCUAAGACUCGAAAGCUGGGGGAGCAAACAGG
rnacentral:rRNA from 1 species